rnacentral:lncRNA from 1 species
ACCAACCUCCAUAAGAUGUUAAAACAAGAUGAUGACCGGCAGUUCUUGCAGUGAUUGUGAUGGUCUACACAGCACCAACCAAGCUUUACAAUGAAACUCUGCUGGGGCACAUUCGUGACGACGCAAAAAAACUGUUGGACAAAGGGAAUUUGCAUUUCCAAGUUAAAAGGCCACCAGGACUGGACGAGACAACAUGUGUGAAGGAGUUCUUCUGUUUUGCUGAGAAGUCCCUGGAAGCACACAAUACUUCGGACACAUCAAACCUUACUCGUCACUUGUGUCGGUACAACAAGCAUAUGAAUAUCACCUGUGACCCAGCAUUUGACGGCACAUUUUCUAUAAUAAAACUUCUGAGAUGGAUCAAGAAAUGUGCCACGCCGUGA